GACGAACGCUGGCGGCGUGCUUAACACAUGCAAGUCGAACGGAAAGGCCCUGCUUUUGUGGGGUGCUCGAGUGGCGAACGGGUGAGUAACACGUGAGUAACCUGCCCUUGACUUUGGGAUAACUUCAGGAAACUGGGGCUAAUACCGGAUAGGAGCUCCUGCUGCAUGGUGGGGGUUGGAAAGUUUCGGCGGUUGGGGAUGGACUCGCGGCUUAUCAGCUUGUUGGUGGGGUAGUGGCUUACCAAGGCUUUGACGGGUAGCCGGCCUGAGAGGGUGACCGGCCGCAUUGGGACUGAGAUACGGCCCAGACUCCUACGGGAGGCAGCAGUGGGGAAUAUUGCACAAUGGGCGGAAGCCUGAUGCAGCAACGCCGCGUGCGGGAUGACGGCCUUCGGGUUGUAAACCGCUUUCGCCUGUGACGAGGCGUGAGUGACGGUAAUGGGUAAAGAAGCACCGGCUAACUACGUG
rnacentral:rRNA from 1 species